UACAGAGGGUGCAAACGUUGCUCGGAAUCACUGGGCAUAAAGCGCACGUAGGCGGUUUGCUAAGUCGGAUGUGAAAUCCCUGGGCUCAACUCAGGAACUGCAUCCGAUACUGGCUGACUUGAGGACGGUUGGGGUGAGUGGAACUCCAGGUGGAGCGGUGAAAUGCAUAGAUAUCUGGAGGAACACCAGUGGCGAAAGCGGCUCACUGGACCGUAACUGACGCUGAGGUGCGAAAGCUAGGGUAGCAAACGGG
rnacentral:rRNA from 1 species